GCGGCAGUAGCUCAGUGAUAGAGCCCCCGCUUCGUGUGCGGGGAGACCCGGGCUCGAUUCCCGGCUGCUUCC
rfam:Toxocara canis scaffold1086, whole genome shotgun sequence.